rnacentral:siRNA from 1 species
ACCCAGAGCUAGCUGGUUC